rnacentral:tRNA from 1 species
UGGGGAGUAGUUCAACUGGUGGAACGCUUGGUUCUGGUCCAAGAUGUUGAGGGUUCGAGUCCUUCCUCCCCAGCCA